CACCGCCUACGCAGCCGCUGGAGUCGUCUGUCGGAACGUCGGGACGCGCGCCUCAGGAACGAUGCGGCAUUGUUAAUGAAGGUGAAGUUGAUGACAGUUGCUUUCUUCCUGGUAGUUUGAUGGAUUAUAGGGGAGAAUUCUUCGGAAUUGGAUUAAAUAUGAAUGAAGGAGUUGAUUUAAAUGAUGAUGGGCUAAACUGUAUGAAAUGUGAUGGUGAUGAUAUGGGUGAGUUGCAGGACUUGGAUUUAAAUGAAGGGGUGAAUUUGGAGUUGCAUGAGGGGUUAAAUGAUGAUGGGCUAAACUGUAUGAAAUGUGAUGGUGAUGAUUUGGGUGAGUUGCAGGACUUGGAUUUAAAUGAAGGCGUGAAUUUGGAGUUGCAUGAGGGGUUAAAUGAUGAUGGGCUAAACUGUAUGAAAUGUGAUGGUGAUGAUUUGGGUGAGUUGCAGGACUUGGAUUUGAAUGAAGGCGUGAAUUUCGAGUUGCAUGAGGGGUUAUAUUUGAUUGAAGGAUUAUCGAUGAGUGUUCGGGUGCAAAGAAGGAAAUAAUUGAUGUGAAUUUGGAUGUUAGUGAACAGUUUGUGAAUGUGGGUGGCGAGAGAGAAGGAAGAUACUUCGAUUUGAAUUUAACGCUAACAGAGUAUGAAGUUAACAACUUAGAUGAUUGUGAGGAGAAUUUAGGAGCAAAUGAAAGGAUUUGUGAUGAAGGAGACAAGCAGAGAGGGGUGGAGUUUUGUGAUUGAAGUUUAGUGAAUGCAGAUGCUGAGAGGGGCAAUGAGAUUUUCUGUAUGGAGAGUAGAGAAAAAAGCCCAUCAGGGAACUGUGCCGCCGGAGUUGAUUAUGAAAAUGCGGCUUCAGUAAGUGUGUCGAAAAAGAGAAGGGGAAGGAGAAAAAAGAGGUUUUGAAUAAUAAAACCGAAUCAGACAUACCAGAGCAUAUUAAAGUGGAUGUUGAAAUUGGAAAUUUCAAUUCAAGAUUGGAAAAUAGAGCAAACCCCCCCCUAAAAAAUCCCAGUGAUUCUGUGGCUGAUUAUGGUGAUGGAGUUUCAGGAACUGCACCAAGGAGGAGGAGAGGAAGGAAGAGAAGAGAGUUAUCCGAUGAUGAUAUUAACUUGGCUACACCGGAGAUGGGAUUGAGGAGAAGCAUUCGAUGGGCAAAAAAGGCUUCAUUUUCAGCAGAGAUCAGCAGGCAGGUAUCCACCCCAGCCGAUAGUGUUUUUUCUGACAAAAAGGUUACAAGGGCAGGUUCUGAAAAAUACGAGGAACCUGUUCCGUCAGCCAAAAGAGGAGCUACCACCUUCUUCUGGCAGUCUGGAUCUCAAAGGAGUUUCUGUGUUUGAUUUUGUAUCCGUUUACGCAUUUGUAAGGUCGUCUAAUGCUUUGCUGUUUUUAAGCCCUUUUGAGCUGGAUGAUUUUUUGUGACGUGUCAAAUGUUAAGACUCCACGUCAUUGUUUGGCUUUAUUCACGUGUCCCUUUUAAAACACUACGGAUACAUUUGGAGUCUCUUUCCAACAAAGGUUCAGCCUCUGUGCCUGAUUGUCUCAGGACUCUUAAUUGGGAUUUCGUGGACUUGAUUACAUGGCCCCUGUUUGUGGUUCAGUAUCUGUUAUAUGGACAGUCCUCGACAUAUACCUGGUUUUGAUCUGUAUCAAUUUGGACCUUUCCGGAUGGCUACUGCAAAAUGCCAGUAUCAGCAAAAGUUGAGAGUUCAAGUCAUCUUUGCGGUGAUGUGAUUGAAGUAGAAGCCUUCAGGUCAGAGCUAAACAGAAGAACAUUGACAACAGAGCAGUAUAAGGAUUUGAAUUGGAAUAUUAAAUUAAAUGAUUCCAAAAGAAGAAAGGCUAUGAUGGAUGUUGCUACUUCUUAGUUCUUGCAUUAUAGAAGGUGAUAUUGAUUGCUGCCUGUUUAAGAUGGACAGCAACUUGAUAUGCUGUGACGGUUGCUCUGCGGCAUUCAUUCAAGGUGUGCAGGGGUUUUGAGCAGCCUGCUGCCGUGGGGCGAUUACUAUUGUCCUGAAUGUGCAAUCGACAAGGAUAAGUCUUGGGCCAACAUAGGGAAGUCUAUCAAGGAGCAGAACCAUGGCCGGCUAUAUUAUAGCAGCUGCAGUCACCUAUUAGUCUAAGUUGUUCCUUAUAAGAUUAGGGAGCUUGAUGCUAACAUCAAAUGGGAUGAUAUUGGGAACGCUAACCUGCUUUCCGAGGUGGACAAGCAUUCCAAAUUAUCCAUCAGGUCAUUUAAAAAGGUUAUAAUUCAUGCAAAAUACUAUGAAGGAGAAGUAGCCAGGUACCUUCUAGAUUUUGAGAAGAAAAGACUUAUCCCCGUUAUAGUCAUGAAACAUGGUUCCAUGCUUGAAGAUUCCACAAGCAAGAUAGAUAAAUAUUGGCUGGACGAGUAUCAUGUUUGAUUGCAUCUCCUGAAAGUGUUUGAAGAGAAAGAACUGCUCGUCAGUCCAAUGAGAUUAGUUUCUGGAAAACCUCAUGAUAGCAGCAGAGUGUUGAAGAAGUCGGUCAAGAGAAAGGGGUUUGAGUACCUUUUCCUCAAGAGCAGAUAGAUCAGAUAGUUACAAAUGCGGGCCCUGUAAGAAAGAAAUUCUCAUCAGGGAAGCAGUGAGCUGCCAAGGCUUCUUCUUCUGCUGGAUCUAUUACUGCUGAGUGUAUCUAUACAUGCCAUAAAUGUGAGAUUGGAUGUUUGUGAAAACUGAUGCAAGCAAGGGAAAAGCUAAGUUGCCAAAAUGUAAGAAGGCAGUAGAAGCACUAAAGCCAUUAUGCUCUGAGAACAGUAAAAAAACCAGGGAAAGACUAACAACAAGUGCUUUAUAAAAAGAAGAGAGUUCCUCUGGUGGUACCACUGCGACUUUCUGCUAGUAUUGCCGAGCACAGUUCAAAGGUGUCUUUCCAGAGUAGGAAGGUAAAAAAACAGAAGAGAGGAAGGCAAGCUAAAACAAAGAAGGAUAAGUUGAAGAUGUUGAACAGUUGUAGAUGGUAGAAGAAGUGUCCUGUUAAUAGUAGUUAUUGGUUGAAUGGUCUACAGUUGACAAGCAGGAAGAAUGAUGAAAGAUUGAUGCAAUUUAGGAGUAAAAUACUUCUAGUGCUUUCUGGAGACUGGACUUCCAUCAGUGAAGCCGAGAUGUAGUCUCUGCGGUUAACUGUAAUACACUUCUAAGCUGCAUAAUGUGACUUAUGAAAUUUGUUGAGAAUUCGCAGUUUGGAUUCAGCGAGAUGCAUUGGUUCUUACAACAGAUAAAAUAGAAAGAAUCAUUGGCUUCAAGUGCCACAACUGUCUCAAUAAGAGGCCUCUUCUCUGCCCACAUCAUUGUCCAACUGGAUGCAACAAGGUUGAACUCGUUUCAGAAAAUAACUCGGACUGAAUGCAAUGUGGAAGUUUCUAAUGGUUUGCCUCACCCAGAUGACAGAACUAAGCAAUUCCUGGCAUGUAACUUGGUAAAAUUCAAGUAUUGCUGGAAACUUGAAAGCAGAAAUUGGGGAGACUGAAGCACCAGUUGCAGUUGGUUAAAGCCAAUCCUGCAUCUGGCCCUUGUUUUAUUGCAGAAAGAGUGCUCAAAGCACAUCGCCAGCUUUUUUCAGACAUGACAUGAAUCAAAGGGUGAAAAAUACUGGAAUGUUGGUUCCGCUGUACGAAUUAGCUGCACGUGCUCAUUAUUGAGUACAUGGAUGCUCGCGUCAAAUCUCAUACUGCUUUUUGCUGUACCAGUUCUGGAUAGCAUCUCAGAGAUGUGCAAUGUCGGAGAAAUUUGAUACAGAUUGUUACACCGCACGGGCAGGCUACAAGCACUGUGGCUGUGAGUAGGAGCAGUAGGUUUACCUUCAGAUAGAAACAGCGAUCGAGUUAACCAUUGCCAAACUCAACAAGGUGGUAGAGAAAGAAAGCCAUUUUUUUGGAAGCCAUUGAAUUUCAACAUCUAGCGCUGUUUUAAACACGCACGACAUCAGUUGUAGGUAAACACAGAAGGAUAAGAAACAUGCAAAUGAUUUUUCCUUUUGUGCCAAAUCAAUCGAGCUUGUGCUGAAAGUCAGGUUUGGAUUGAAACCGAAUUUGGGAUUGAGCUAUCUAACUUCUUGAUAAAUUAUAAAUAUUAUGUAUGCUAAUAUGUAAAAAGAUAAAUAUAAAAUAUCGAUUUAUAGUUGUCGUUUUAUAGACAUAAAUAACACAGUAAUUUGCUCAAUAGGUCGGGAACAUGUGAUUGUCCCUCAAUCUUCUUCAAUAACAAAUAGCCCGUUUUGCCCUUCGGUG